rnacentral:rRNA from 1 species
UACGGAGGGAGCUAGCGUUGUUCGGAAUUACUGGGCGUAAAGCGUGCGUAGGCGGCUUUGUAAGUUAGAGGUGAAAGCCCGGAGCUCAACUCCGGAAUUGCCUUUAAGACUGCAUCGCUUGAAUCCGGGAGAGGUGAGUGGAAUUCCGAGUGUAGAGGUGAAAUUCGUAGAUAUUCGGAAGAACACCAGUGGCGAAGGCGGCUCACUGGACCGGCAUUGACGCUGAAGCACGAAAGCGUGGGGAGCAAACAGG